GCGGCGACCUGCGCGGCCCAGGUGCUGCACCGAUGCCUCCUUCCUCCGUCGCCCAGGUCCAAGGCGGCUCUCUUCUAGCCAACCACCAGCCAUGCGUCGCCCCCUCCUCCUUGGCCGACUCUCUCCUCCUCUAGAGAAGUAGCACGGGGCUCGUUGCUGUGCCUGAGCCGCCACAAGGACGUUGGGUGGAGGGGAUCCUGAAGUUGCUGCAGGUAGAAAACGGCGGAACAUUUGAUGUGGUGAACUAGCGGAAGGAAGAGCUAUGGUGGACAAAAACCAAGACUUGCAGUGGAUGUGCUGAAAUAGCUAUGGGUGACAGAUCCAAGACAUGAGAUUCUAACCAUCUUCUUGCGAAGGCUUUCUUGCAAAUCAGUGGAUGUAACCAUGUCAUAGUUUGAUUUUAAGUGCCAUGGAAUCUUGACAGUGGUCACAUGCUCUUUUAUCCUUUUUACUGCUAGCAUUUUUAUCACUCUGGAUAUUCCGUUUCUAAUGUCAUUUGAAUUGAGAUCUUUUUGUCACUCAUCCAUGGAUCCUUUGCAUAUAAGAGGUGUUUUGUGUGAUUGCAACCAGUCAUAUAUGUUUGGUGUUUGAACAUAUAUCAUGAUAUAUCUUGCUGGUAAUGUUGUGCUACCAUGGAAAAAACGUAGGUAGGUAUGAUUCUACCAUCUCACUUUCUUGAUGAGUUAAAAUGUCCAUAUUUGUUAAUCCCAGUAAUAUUCCUACAGGUUUCCAUGUUAAUUCCUACAGGUUUGCUACUGAUUUUAUCCUAUAACUCUUCUACUUUUAACCACUGGUUAUGCCUUUUUUUCUGGUAUAGAGUGCUUUGUAGUGUCAGUGAUUUACAAGGGCGAUGCUUUGGUGCUAUUGUUCAUCGUUUCAAUGUCCCCAAAGCGGUGCCUUCAUUUUCUUUUUGUAUCGGCUACAUGUUUGUAUGUACAUUUGCACUUUUCUUUGUUUUAUACAUUUUCUUAGUGCACAACUAGCUUGAUCAGGCUCGUGUAACUGAGAAACCGAGCUUCAGGGAGAUCCAAAUCAUUUUAGAGGUUACAACACGAUAAUGGCAUUCAUAGUGUCCACCUUGAAGGAGUUACACAUUUACUAUUUUCUGUUUGUUGAGUUUUUUUUUUUUUUGGAUUCCUAUGCAUUAAAAAAAUAGUGAAUCUUUUGCUGCAUUUAUUAGGACUAACGGGCUAAAAUUAUUCAGCUUUGUUACUAGUAUAUCUGAGCAUACAUAUUGUGAACAAUAUCAUAAGCUUUUGGGGAUGAAAUAAACCCAGUAUGAUCUAAGUUUCUUUCCUUGCACUGAUUUUCUUUAUCUGAAUUUACAACAACAUUUUGGUAGCGGAGAUGGUCGAUGGGGAGAUGGCCCGCCUCUGAUGCAGCUGGAGAACCAAGCUGCAGAGGUUCACUGAAUAAUUUUCGCAUUUGAUGUGUGACAUCUGUAACUACUACUAGAGAUGUAUUACUUGAUGUUAUCACUAUGUUGAAGUUCUCUUAAAUUCUAAUGUUCUGUCCAUGAGUUGGGUCACUUCGGGCGUUCUUGUCGGUAAUAUACUGGUGCUUUUGUUGUAGGAUUAUUUGGUGUAGCAAGAAUGAUAGUUCUAGGCCAGAGCAAACAAUGGAUAGGAAAAUAGCUGCCUUAUUAACCAAAACUGAAUACUGAAAUGAGGAUUUUUGGGAGUUCAGAUGAGAUAGUAACAGAUCUGGCUGAGUAUAUCUCGCAAUUUUUAUAAAUAUCUGUUAAAGAAAGUGGAUACUUCGCUAUUGUCAUGUCUGGAGUGCCACUUGUCUGUUUUUUGGGGUAAUGAUUUUUUCUAUUCUUUGCUAGCUAUAUGCCUUUUUUUUUGCACACGAAUUUUCAAUACAGUAUGCAUUAUUGUGUCUAAAGUAUCCUGUUUUUAAUUUAUUAAAAGGUAACUUUGUGAAGCGACGUAUAUAUCCUGCUCUGAUGAACGUGAUGUAGCAAAGAACCAUGCAGAUAGUAUUAUGACCUGAUGUUUUAAUUUAUAGGACCGAGGCUUCUUCUUGUGUCCGUACGAAAGCGAAGCUGUACCGAUUGGCAGUGGAAGGAGCGGGGCAUGGGUACAUGAAGCCUGGAUAUAAUCUGCUUUAAACUAUUUUUAAGGGAAUUCAUUACAGCAUACAACAAGUUCGGACCAAGAAAACUGGUAUUGCAUUUGGCCUGUUGCAUUUAUUCCUUGGGCUGGUGGAUGGAUAGGAAGUGGGAUUAUAUCAAUGCAAUAUCUGAAUGCAAUGAUGCACCUAAAAGUUAGGCCUACCGAUCGUUAAAUAUGCAUAGCUGCCUGGUUUAGCUAUGCUCCAAUUGGCUUGCCCUGAUUGUCGAUAUUAUUUCUCUCAUAACUUAAUUGAUUUCUUGGUUCUCACCUAGGCAUUUUGAUUCUCUCAAAUCUAAUGGCAAAAGUUCAUUGCUUACUUAAGAGGCAUAUGUGCUAACGGUGACGAUCAGUAGAAAGGUAUGUGUUAUUUUCCACACUAUGUGCCACCCUCCUUGUUUUGAAGAAAUGUAAGUGUUCGCUUAGUAAAGUAUCUUUAUGUUUUCAUGCAUGGAUUUUACUUUAGUUUAUAAGAAAAUUGUAAUGUUCUAAAUUUUACUUUUAACAUAUCAGGACAACUCAGCCGUGACAUUAAAAAAGAGCAAACAAGAUUCCGGCUUUGGAGUCUGAGCCGGUAUUCACUUGAAUGUGUAAAGUUUUGUGUUUCUUUUCUCGAAUAACAUGUCUAUUAUAUUUAGGUUCACAUAUGGAAUUUCUCUGGGCGAACAACCUUCAUAUUUAUAUCAUCGUCAGUGUGGACCAUGUUUGACAGCAGCAGCCCAUAGUUUCUUGUCAUUUUCGUAGUUCUGAGAAACUUUUCUUAGUUGGUCUGUUCGUUUGUCAAGAACUUGUUGUGCAAGUUAUUAUGUUAUAUGUUAGAACAAUUAUACCUAUAUAUAAAAAAACUAGGACAGGACGAUUCUUAAUGCA